rnacentral:rRNA from 1 species
AACGAACGCUAUGGGCGCGCUUAAUACAUGCAAGUCGAACGUGAGCUGUCGAAAGACAGUUGUAAAGUGGCAAACGGGUGAGUAACACGUGGGUGAUCUACUCCUUAGAGGGGGAUAACUCUUGGAAACGAGAGCUAAUCCCGCGUAAGUACCGCGAAGGUGGAACUAGCGGUAGAAAGGUCGUAAGACCUGGCGUUAAUGGAGCGGCCGAUAUCUGAUUAGCUAGUUGGGGAGGUAAAGGCUCACCAAGGCGACGAUCAGUAGCUGGUCUGAGAGGACGACCAGCCACACUGGAACUGAGACACGGUCCAGACUCCUACGGGAGGCAGCAGUGGGGAAUUUUGGACAAUGGGCGAAAGCCUGAUCCAGCCAUUCCGCGUGAGUGAAGAAGGCCUUCGGGUUGUAAAGCUCUUUCGCAAGGGAAGAACACUUACUUAAUAACACUAAGUGAGGUUGACGGUACCUUGGUAAGAAGCACUGGCUAACUACGUGCCAGCCGCCGCCGUAAAAC